rnacentral:lncRNA from 1 species
AUUAUAUAUUCUAAUUUAUGAACAACAUAUACAUUUGUACAUAGGUAAAUACACAUGUGUAUAUUCAUAUGUAAAUAUAUAUAUACAUAUAUGUAUAUAUAUACAUAUAUAUAUAUACACACACACAUAUAUAUAUAUGCGCACACAUACAUAUAUCCACACUUAUGUGUGUAUAAAGACAAGGUACUGCAACAGUUACAAUCUAAACACUGUGUUUUCAUCAUCUUUUUAGAAGAUGCUUUUUAGAAGCAAAGCCCACCUUCUUGGCUCCAAGCAGGCCAGGUAGCACAGUUCCACUGGGGCAGCUCCAAGGAAAACUUGCUAAAUAGUGAGAAAGAGAUUGUAGUGGAACCUUUCUGAGGACAUUGCUGUGGACUCUACAUGGACCUUGUGGCCUCCUUCUCAUUGACAUACAUAUUGUCUCCAUGCAGAACCAGCCGUAUCAUCCAGAAGAUUCUUCCUGUCAUGUCUGCAAUGGCAAACGAAUUUUCAAAUCAACAAGAUGCAAGAAAGUCUGUUAGGAAACGACAAAAAGGUCUAUGUCAGAUCCUAAUUGGAAGAAUCAGGCUUCUCUUUUCAUGUUUAUCUAGGAAUAACAGCGCAGUGGUGGAUCAGUCUCCUUUAGACCCAUCCCUGGAAGCAGUUUCCUCCCCAAAGCAUAAACAGCACUUCAAAGGGGCAGCUGACCCAGUCCAUACGUCUGACCAUGCAGAUCUGCUGGGGGAGGCCAAGAAGACUCUGCAGACAGAGGGAGAAGCUCAGGGCGAACUCAACCAAAGGGAGACUUUGCUGACAGAAGAUUUGGAUGAGAAAUUCAUGCAGCUGGAGAAGGAAAAAAGUCAACAGAUUCUGAUGAGUAUUGAGCAGAGCUUGUUGCAGAAUCCUCCAAUGGUUAGGCUGGAAGAAAAUGUGAUGAAACUUAAGAAAGAGCUCAGUGAAAUGGAAAUGGCAAAUCAAAUCAUGAAAACUCAGCUGAGGAAAGUCAUCCACAUCCAUGUAAGUUGAGAUAAGUGAGGUUUCUUCAGAAACUCAACCAGGGGUUUUGUUUGUCAGUAUUGUGGGAAGCUCCUCUAUUUCAUUUAAACAAACAGGUGCCCUUUUUGUUCUUCACUUAUGGGAAGUUCACUUAGGUCGCACGGAAAAAAAUUGUUUUUACACGUAAUUAGGGGAAAAUAAAAUAUUUAAAAAAGAUAUUUAAGUUUUGUUA